GCUUGCUGUCGUAAGAGUCUUUGUUUACGGCAAGUCGCCGUGUUACCAGUGUUUGGUGUGUGCCUGUAGAUAGCAACGGUGUCUCAUCUUGUUAAUUAAAUAUUUAUAUUUUUAAUAAAAUAUGAGCAUGCCAAAACUCAGCAAGGAGACCAAGCAGCGGCUGCAGCAAGUUUUCCAAUGUGGACAGUUCGCCAUACGAUGGGGAUUCAUCCCUACUAUUCUAUACCUGGGUUUUAAGAGAGGUGCUGAUCCUGGGUUGCCAGAGCCUACUGUUUUAAGUUUGCUUUGGGGUUGAGAUAGUUGGAGACCAAAGUAUCUGUUGUCUGCUUAAGGAAGAGACUUGAUGGAAAAUCUUAUUCAAUUCUGUCCAUUGGGAUCCUCUACAAACUGAUUGGCUUCACUGCAGCACUUGUUUACAUGUAACCAUUAGAUUUUCUAAGGGAAUUUCUACGACUGUGAUUAUCUGUUGCAUUAAAUGCAGUAAACCCUUUACAUAAGA